AUACAAAUCUGGCAGGGGAGACAUCAUGAUCAUGAAGGUGGUUUCCCAGGGUGAGGCUAAUCCACUGCAUUUCGGGUGUGCUGACCCCUGUGGUUUGCCCAAAUGCAGGAUACCUGACUGCUUAAUUUGUGGAAGUGGGGAACAGUGUCUGCGCUUUCCCCUC
rnacentral:snRNA from 1 species